rnacentral:rRNA from 1 species
UACGUAGGGUGCAGGCGUUAAUCGGAAUUACUGGGUGUAAAGCGUGCGCAGGCGGUUUGCUAAGACAGGUGUGAAAUCCCCGGGCUUAACCUGGGAACUGCGCUUGUAACUGGCAGGCUUGAGUGCGGCAGAGGGGGGUGGAAUUCCACGUGUAGCAGUGAAUUGCGUAGAGAUGUGGAGGAACACCGAUGGCGAAGGCAGCCCCCUGGGUCGACACUGACGCUCAUGCACGAAAGCGUGGGGAGCAAACAGG